rnacentral:rRNA from 1 species
CUAAAUGGACUCAUGGCGGACGGGUGAGUAACGCGUAAAGAACUUGCCCUUUAGACUGGGAUAACAGAGGGAAACUUCUGAUAAUACUGGAUAAGUUAGUAUAUCGCAUGAUAUACAAAUGAAAGCUACGGCACUAAAGGAGAGCUUUGCGUCCUAUUAGCUAGUUGGUAAGGUAAGAGCUUACCAAGGCGAUGAUAGGUAGCCGGCCUGAGAGGGUGGACAGCCACAAGGGGACUGAGAUACGGCCCUUACUCCUACGGGAGGCAGCAGUGGGGAAUAUUGGACAAUGGAGGGAACUCUGAUCCAGCAAUUCUGUGUGUGUGAAGAAGGUUUUAGGACUGUAAAACACUUUUAGUAGGGAAGAAAAAAAUGACGGU